GGCCGAAAUAAGCGAGUGGUUAGCAUUUCGCACUGCCAUUCGCAAGGCUAAGGUUCAAGUCCUGGUUCAGCCA
rnacentral:tRNA from 1 species